GACGAACGCUGGCGGCGCGCUUAACACAUGCAAGUCGAACGGAAAGGCCUGCUUUCCCUUGUGGAUUGCGGGUACUCGCGUGGCGAACGGGUGAGUAACACGUGAGUGAUCUGCCCCCAACUUGGGUAUAAGCCUGGGAAACUGGGUCUAAUUCCCGAUAGGACUGCAGGGUGGUGCCUGUGGUGGAAGACGAUUUUCUAGUGGUUGGGGAUGAGCGGGCGGCCUAUCAGCUUGUUGGUGGGGUAGUGGCCUACCAAGGCGGCGACGGGUAGCCGGCCUGGGAGGGUGGACGGCCACAGUGGGACUGAGAUACGGCCCAGACUCCUACGGGAGGCAGCAGUGGGGAAGAUUGCACAAUGGGCGGAAGCCUGAUGCAGCGACGCCGCGUGGGGGAUGACGGCCUUCGGGUUGUAAACUCCUUUCGACCGCGAGGAAGCCACCUGGUUGGAAGGGUGGUGACGGUAGUGGUAGAAGAAGCACCGGCUAACUACGUG
rnacentral:rRNA from 1 species